GUUGGCCUGAUACCUCGCUUACAGAGUUCCCAGCAGCCUCACCAGGGCCUUCUCCGGACUCCACCAGACCGGUGGACGACAAACGCUGGAGUGACGGGGUAUCAGGUCCUCCUCUUUAACAAUGACUGAUCAGUCUGUACUCCAGUCACUGCAGGCAUUACAGUGUCUCUAGCCCACACGGGGAUCCUAACUGCCCACACUGAGAUGGAGACGGAGCUGGAACCACAUCCUUACCAACCCAGGGACUUAGUUUGGAUGCGCUGCCGCCAAGUGGAAACUUGGAGCCUGGCUGGAAGGGACCCUACAGCGUGAUCCUGACCCCUCCCACCCCUCUCAAUGUAGGUUGAUGGCAUUGGGCCUUGGGUCCACCACUCCCACGUGUGCCAGCCUACCCCACCAGAACAGAGACAAGCCAGAGAGUGGACCGCGUGGCAGCACCCUGAUAAUCCCCUGAAACUGAGGAUCUCUAGACCUCAGGAGCAUACCAAAUCUUCUGCCCAGCCCGAUGAUGAAAUGGCAAUUGAUCCUGACCCUGUUCAACAGCUGGAGAGAGACCCACAUGGGAACCAACCCUCAUCAACCUUAGAAGCAGACAUGGAUCCUAACGGAUGGACAAACUGGGGGACCAUGUGCUGCGCUAGGAGAAGAAUGCUGUUUUUACGCUGACCAUUCAGGAGUAGUAAAGGAAUCCAUGGCCAAGGUAAGAGAAGGAUUAGCUAAGAGAAAAAGACAAAGAGAGGCACAGGAGAACUGGUUUGAGGCUUGGUUUAAUUAAGUUUCCCUGGCUCUCCCUCCACCCUAGUUUCUACCUUAGUUGGGCCAUUUAGUCUACUUGUACUCAUUUUAAAUUUUGGCCCCUGCAUUCUAAACAAACUUACUAAUUUUGUAAAGGACCAUGUUAAUACCAUCCAACUCCUGGUCUUAAGACAACAAUAUGAAAAGUUGUCCACUCCUGAGGGCCCCCACGACUGCCCUACAAAUGACCAAGAUUCCUCAUUAUGAAGAACUAAAAGGGGGGAACAACUAAAGUUGUUCAUUAUGAACAACUAAAGAGUGGGUUAGCAUAAAUACAGCCAUCUUAGCUUGGGCAGCCAUCUCAGGCCCAAGGGCUGAACUUUCCCCUAUUUUAGUUCUAGGGACCCUCACCCUGCUUUAGUUCCAAGAAAAUACCCCACUCUACAACACCCCAGCAGCAGCUAAUCAGCUUAAACCACCAGGGCAGCUAAGCGGUUGCACCACGGGGACCAGAUGUUGAAAAGAGCUUAUCUUACUAAACCACCAGGGGGCGCAAGCCAAAAGUAUGUAUGGAAAAUUACUGAGUUGGAUGUUCUAAAAAAACGCUAUAUAAACCCUUGGCUUUGAGUGCUCCGGGUCCUUGUAGAAACCCACUGCGUCAGGCAGAUACUCAGACCCCAGCUAGCUGGAAAUAAACCUCGCUGUGUGAUUUGCAU